CGUAGGGGGCAAGCGUUGUCCGGAUUUAUUGGGCGUAAAGAGCUCGUAGGCGGUUCGACAAGUCGGAUGUGAAAUCUCCACGCUCAACGUGGAGGGGCCAUUCGAAACUGUCGUGACUUGAGUCCGGUAGGGGAGUGUGGAAUUCCCGGUGUAGCGGUGAAAUGCGCAGAGAUCGGGAGGAACACCCGUAGCGAAGGCGGCACUCUGGGCCGUGACUGACGCUGAGGAGCGAAAGCGUGGGGAGCAAACAGGAUUAGAUACCCUGGUAGUCCACGCCGUAAACGUUGGGCACUAGGUGUGGGACUCUAUCGACGGGUUCCGUGCCGUAGCUAACGCAUUAAGUGCCCCGCCUGGGGAGUACGGCCGCAAGGCUA
rnacentral:rRNA from 1 species